UGGGCUUAUGCCAAUACACAAACAUCCCUUCCAACUAAAUGAGUCCAAUGUUACGCAUAAUAAAACCCAAACCUCACGGCCCAAUUAGGAAUUCUGGAGAAAAACUUAUUAGAAGGAAAAUCAGCAUACCAACAGUGUUACAGAUGGUAUCAAUCCAAGCUAGAUUCGACCAGCCAUUAAGGCUACUUCCACGUGGCGUUGGGUGGGAGAAAGAAACUCAAGAAAAAAACGUCAACAGUUACUGCAGAAAGACCUUAAAAGUCAUGUAUAUCUAAUAACUUCGUUAGUACAUAGAACCAAUCAAGAACCAAUUUGUAAUGAAGGGAAUUAAAAGAAAAUUAAAGAAAAUAAUGCAUAAUGACUAUUCACAUGUGAGAACUGGAAACAGUACAGGAAAACAAAAAUCAAAACUUCAAAACACAACCUCAUUUGGGGCAAAACGUAUCGCCACCACACAAACUUAAUACCCAAAUCGAAAUAUUACCAAAUCAACUCGUUUCAAAGCUGUAGGUCGGAGUUGGGCGCCGCCGAAUCGAGUUGUAAUCGUGCUUCGUUGUCAGAGCGGAUCGUGGUCGCAAAUGCCGAUAAGCAAGGAAUUAUUAUUGAUGAGCGGAAAGCAUUUUCGUUUGGGAGUUUUCGGGUGUCUCACGGCGGGUUGGAGAUUGUGAAGGUGAUGGGGUAGUGACGGCGGAAUGUUUAUGAGGGGUUGUGUCGUUAGUGGUGGUGAGUGACUGAUGGUCGAUUGAAGAAGAAAAAGGAGAUGGUGAUGGUUUUGUGUGUGGGAAGUAGAUCGGAGGGUUUGGACAGACGGGGUAUGGUUGAAGUGGGAUUUCAGCAGGGUAACGGUAUAUUUCUUCUUUGACAAAUGCUUCGGGUUGGGGUCUAUAGCUCAGCCUUUCUCAAACCCUGAUGAUAAGUUUGAGAGGCUUAUCCGUAAACGAGCUUUAGAGUUAGGUGGUGAGGGAGUAUUUUAGCAGAAUAACGUUAGGUUUCUUCUCCCUCCCCCUUUUUUCAGAAAUGGAUAUUCCUUAUAUAGAGCUCUGGAGUACCAAGUCUCUCACUUGUGAGCUGGCCAAAAUCCAAGAAUUUCCGUUAGAAUAAAAUCUCAUCUAGAUUUGGUGUGGUCCCUAAUUCGAUGCAGGUGGCAAGGCAAGUUUGUUAGUAGUGAAAUCUCUCCCUGAUGCGUGGCCCCUUUCUUGAAUUUCUCUUGGAUUAUUACUGCUGUAAGACAGGUGUUCUUCUGAUUUUUGCUGACGUGAGGACUUAAUACAUUUAGGUUUGAAUUGCUGCAUUGAUUCUUGCUGCUUGGAGGGUGUACCCGCUUCAAGUUUCACCUUGAAUAACAGUGCAGUUUUGGUUUGUUUUGGAUGUUUCAGGUGAAACAAUCACCUAACUGAUGAAGAAUACAACAAUGAUCACGACUUGCUUGAAUUCAGAUCUAACCGUGAAAACUGGAUAUGAUUGUGGACAUUGAGGUGAACAUUUGAGCGAACAUCUUUAAAUGCACUUAGAAAGUAAUCAGAAGGUCUGAAGGCUAACUUCGCAAAUAUGCAUGGCUCUGAUGCGAACCAAAUGACCCUUCAGUGGAUUCCUUUCUUGCAAUGAUGCUGCUGUUGAUUAAUUUUCUCUAUUGCUGUUGUGGUAGUGCAGGUUUCGGUCGUGUACGUCGUCCACCACCAGGUACAUGAAACAUUGAUACAUGAUUUUCAAGUCUUGGCUUUUGUUUUAAUGAAGCGAUAUAUAUUGGCCUGUCGCCGGUUUACAUGAAGGAGACCAAAAUCAGAGGAUUGACCGUGGAAAGAUCCAGUUCCAGUCUUGGCCAGAAAUGUAUCUUUUGGAGUUUCCAAAAAAUGAGUGUCCUGCUAGUUUACAUCAACAGGUACCACCUGCUUCGACUUAUCUCCAUUGCAAGGAACUCUCAGCCUAAUCAAUAAUGUUUCUAACAGAAUCUUCUGGCAAGGCUUGUUCAUAGAUUUUCCAUGAACCUAGGAGUUUCUCAUUCCUUUCUCAGUAAAUGAUAGCUGAGGCGGAUGACAAGAUAUACGCUCCCACUGUCUGACAUCUGCUACGUCUGACAUCUGCUACGCAAAUGUACCUGUUACAUAGCUCUCCCACCAGUGCUUCUAUUUGUCGGUCCUUCUUGACGGAAGAAAAUAGAAAUUGCAUGAAGUUGCAGCUAGAUUCAUUGCUCAGGUUCUGCUUGGAUAUUUGGCUUAUGUGUGAGCUGAUUUGUGAACUGUUUAUACCUAUUGUGGCAGUAGUGGUUUGUGUAGUUUAUGGAUUGAAUGUUUUAUCAAAGUUGGGCGGUUUUGUAACUGACUUGGCCUAGGGGAUGUUUGGGUAAUUUGUAACUGGCCUUAGGUGUGUUGUAAUGAUGUUCAAGUCACGUGCUGGUUUAUGUAUUGUGUAUGUGAAUUGGUUUUUUUUUGUAAUGAGAAUGAACAAGAUUUAUGUAA